UAGUCCAUGCUGUAAACGAUGAAAACUUGCUGUUGGAUAUAUAAAUGUAUUCGGUGGCGUAGCUAACGCGUUAAGUUUUCCACCUGGGGAGUACGAUCGCAAGGUUAAAACUCAAAGGAAUUGACGGGGGCCCGCACAAGCGGUGGAGCAUGUGGUUUAAUUCGAUGCUACACGAAAAACCUUACCUACUUUGAUCUCCAUAACUAGAUAGAGAUAUUUGGGUGCCUUCGGGAAUUGGAUGACAGGUGCUGCAUGGCUGUCGUCAGCUCGUGUUGUGAAAUGUUGGGUUAAGUCCCGUAACGAGCGCAACCCUCAUCCUUAGUUACUAACAAGUAAUGUUGAGCACUUUAAGGAAACUGCCGGCGAUAAUCCGGAGGAAGGAGAGGAUGAUGUCAAGUCAUUAUGGGCCUUUAUGAGUAGGGGCUA
rnacentral:rRNA from 1 species